UCCUAAUUAUUCAUGCAUAUGAAAUUUUUGUGGUCUAACAAAUUAUUGUCCCUUUCCUAUCAUGAAAGUUUAAAAAAGGUUUAUUACACUUUUAUCCUGAAUUUUAAUUUUGGAGUUGCUUUUGAUCUUUUAACUUUAAAAAAAGAGAUUUAUAUUGAUCCCUUAUCACUUCAAAAUAUAUUUUAUUAAUCAUUUUUAUCUAAUUAGAGACAAGUUUAGCUACCAUUUCUAAAAAAAUUGGAUCAAUUUUGAUGUGGUCUACCAAAUUAUUGUCUCUUUCCUAUCAUGAAAGCUUAAAUUUUUUUUAUAAAUUGGUUAAAAUAAUAACUUAUUAUUAUUAAAUAAUAUUUUAUGUGACAAAUUUAUUAAGUCUGAUCAAAGAACAAUACAAUCAAUUUAAUCACCUAAGCGACAUUAAUUUUAUUAAUUUUUUAUAUGGGAUGUUCGAGUUUAUACACUAUAAAUUGAUCAAAUAUUAUUUUAUCUAUCUCAUAAAAAAGAGAAAAAGAAAAUGGCUUCAAUUCUCAAGUUGUACGUUGUGUUUAUAUUCCUUUUUUUCUUUGUUGCAUCAAAUGUUGAUGGUGAGCCAUUUUCUUCUUCAAAUUUCAUUUUAAUUUUUUAUUUCUUUUUUCGUUUAUAGAAAAUAUUUUAUCUCAUUUUAACAAUAUAAAUUAUUAUUUUAUUAUAGGUCAGGCUUGUAUACACGAUCGCCAAUGUAGAUGCACUCAACAUACAGUAAGCAAGUGUAUCAAUGGUUUCUGUAAAUGUUAUACCUAUAGUGAUAUCCGUCUUAAAUUAAUGAAUAAGUAUUAGGUGAACAUGGUUAUCUAUUUCAAAUAUUUAAAUAAAAUCUAUGUAAUGUUAUAUUUCAAGACAAUAAAUAAUAAAUAUUAUAAACAUGGUUAUCUAUUUUAUUUUAAUAGAUCAAGUAUCUAUGUGACCUCUAUUUUAUGCCAAUGACAUUAUAUAUUUAGUAUGUUGAUCCGUGUGAUGUAUGCUGAAUACAAAUAAUAUUGAAGAAUAUAAAUAGUAUUUAAUAUAAAUAUUUUGAUGUGAAUUUUGUUUUCUCAUCUUGAUUUGAAAACUGUGAUAGGUCUCUUAUCUUUUGGUUGUGUAUUUCUUGAAUCUAUUUGGAUGUUGUAGUAUUUUGCGGCUCAAGUCUUUAUAUAUAAUAUUCUACUUGUUUUUAAGAAAAUAAUAAAAUAAUUAUUUUAAUAAAUUCAGUUAAAAUUAUUUAAAGUGUUGAAAAUGUCGAUAGACAACAUAAAUAUCUUGCAACCUCAAUUUUAUUUUAAAUAGAUAUAUGUUUAUGCAAUAUAAAAUAUAUUGAGACCACCAAAACUCUACUUAAUUGAAAAGAAUAUAUUGUUAAAUAAAAUUUUACAUCAUACAAAAGAAUAACAAAUUUAUAAUAUUCAAUUGUUAAACUACUAAGCUAUGAAUGUAUUAUUGCAAUUCAAAAAUAAAUAAAUAAGUAACUGAGAGAGUAUUACAAAUAAAGUGGUCCUAACACUCAUUUUCAUUAAUUUAUAAAGGAAAAUUUUAACAAGUGCCUGAAAUACUCGUCAAGACUUUAAAUAUAUAUGUUUUAUUUAAAAAUAGUUAUAUUCAAUAUAUUAAAAUUUAAAACAAUUUAUUCUUUUAAAAAAUAAAAUGAGAUUAAUUGUUAUGCACUGACAGUGUAAAUUUUUUUACACUUUCAAUACAUCACAAUCAUCCAUUUGUGUUAUUUUUAUAUGUGAUUAUAAUAAAAGUCAAACUUUUUUAACAAAUCAAUGGUUAUAAUUAAUUGAUAGUGUAAAAUAUUUUUAUAAUGUUGUUGUAUUUCAAUUAAAUCCUAAUAAAAAAUAUAUUUUUUUUUAAGAUUUGUAUUCAACAUAAUAUUUUAUUUAUUUAAAAUUUUUAAGAGUGUUCUGGAUCACUAUAACCCUAAUAUAAAACCAUACUAUAAAUUUGCACAACCGUGCAGUGUUGUAGUUAACACACACUCUUAAAUUAAAUUCGAUCAUAAUAACAAUGGAUAGCUGUAACAAAAAAAAUUUAAAAUAGUAAAAUAAAAGAAACUACCAAUUAUAUUGUUGGAACUUAAAUUAAAUUGCACUAACUAAUUUUUUGUUUUUGAAGAGUGGAGGCAUGUAUGUGGAUAACUCUUACAGAAUUCAAUUACAUGUUCUAAAUAACGGUUUUUGUUUUUGUUUAAAGAAUAAAGUGAGAGGGGCGUUCAGAGGAAACAUUUACAAAGAAGUCACACACUUAAAAAAAUAGAUAAAAGAUAAAUUUAUAGUUACUAAAAUGGUCAAUAAUAUGACAUUAUAUAAAUAUAAACAUAUAUAAAAUAAGAAAAAAUUGUGCUCAAAACGGCUGGCUUGGUUAUGAGUCUCCGUCAUUUGGCCAUUCACAAUAGAAUAUGCAUGCUAGUAGGGUUUUUGAAAUUAAUGAAAGGUGUAAAACAACCUGGAUAUUUUUCUAAGAUAAUUUUGGAUUAAGAUAAGAUCAAACAGUACAAAUCAAUUUUUUCAAUAAAAACAAAUAAAACUAAAAUUGAUUAAUAAUUUGUCUCUAUUUAUUUUUUAUGAUUGUUUUGAUAAAAAAAACCAAAAUAGAAUAAUAAAAAAUAGAGCGCAAAAAUGCUCGAAAAAAAAACGAAUGCACCAAAUUGAUCAGCACAAAAUAAACCUCUCAGAAACAUACAUGUUUCGAUCAAAUUUUGAAAUAAAAACUAACGGGUUAAAAGGCUCAUAUUGUUCUAAUUUCGACUGAAAAAGUAGCUGAAAAAAUAAAAAUGAGCAUACAGGGUUAAACUACUCGAACCGUAGAUCAAGAAAAUUGACGUCUGUAAGCUCGAUUUUGGAAUUUUUCACACGUUAACUUCACGUGCAUUUGAGAAUCAGUUUGACCGGUCCGUAUAUAGAUCCAAAAUUUUAUUUUGGAUAAUAUUUUAGGCAUUGUGCCGGAUGAAAUGCAUGUUAUGUUAGGUAGAUGAUGUGAAUGUCUUGAUGCAUGCAUCUAUUUAUUGAAUGAGGGGGGAAAUUGGGGUGUGACAGUUACCCCUAUUUAGGUAUCUUCAACCAGAGAAUAUGAAGAAUGUUAAUCUUCAUAUGAUUGCGGUGGGAGAUAGUUAAAUACUAAAGAGACCUAAACUUUGUCCCUGGAUGCUGAUGAAAUGAAAUGUUAUGAAUGCAUGAAGGACUCAUUUUAGGUUUUAAUUUGCUGGGGAUAUGGUAUGAAAUGAACCUGAGCAUGGUUUUUAUGAUGGAUGAUAAGUAGAGUGGACAUGUGGGGAAUUAUGGAAAAAUGUGUAACGGUGAUCCAUAAGAAACGAUAAAGACAACGAGGGGCAAGACUCACUAGGGAUAACAAAUUGUAGGGGAAAAGAAAUGAUAGAAUGCUAGACGGUGCUGAACUUUUAGAAUGAAAUGCAAGACGAGACUAGAUUUGACCAGAAGGAAUCAUUAAAAUAUAUACCGGCUUCAAACAGAGUUUGCUAGACAAAAUUGGACUUUGAGGUAAGGGGGUAUAAGAUCAACCAAAGAGGGCGGGGUCAAUGCAAAAUGAGUUCGAAUUACACUUAGAUUAUGCAUGAUUUGAAUUUACUUUUAUGCAUGAUAUAUGAAUGAUCAUGGUAUGAAAAUGAAGACAUUCAUGAAAUGAGACUUGGCGAGAUGCCUUUAUUGGUGAAUGGAAAUGCAAGGUGAAGUCACUAGGGAGAUAAGUGAUCAAUUACUAUGACUAAUUGCAUGUUCUUCAAGAAUAAUCUUCUAAAGAAGUUCCACUUGGGAAGACUACUACCGAGGUUUCUUUGGAAAGAUUCAAAAUGAAAUCACUAAGGAGUCUACUACCGAGACUCACUAGAGAUACCUAGUGCCAAGGUUUUAUUGAGAAAAUACCUACUGCUGAGGUAUAAUGGAAUAUCUUCUCCCGAGAUCAACCAGAAAACCUACUGUAGAGAUUCACUUUGAGAGAGAUAUACCUACUAUCAAGGUCUACUGGUAAAUCACAUACUGAGAUCAAUCAGGGAAUGUACUAUCGAGAUUCUGUGGGGAACACCUUCUGCUGAGGCCUAUUGGGAAAUAUUUUGUCAAGAUUAGCCAGGGAAUCUACUAUUAAUAAUCACUUUGAGAGAGAUAUACCUACUAUCAAGGUCUAUUGGGAAAUCUUCUAUCGAGAUCAACCAGGGAAUCUACUGUCGAGAUUCACUCUGAUAGAGAAAUACCUACUAUCGAGGUCUACUAGGAAAUCUUCUGUUGAGAUUAGCCAUGGAAGCUUCUGCCGAUAUUCUGUAAGGAAACACUUUAUGUCGAGGCCUAUUGGGAAAUAUUCUCCCGAGAUUAGUCAGGGAAUCUUCUGCCGAGAUUUUAAUGAGGAAAACACCUUCUGCCGAGGUCUACUGAGAAUCUUUUGCUGAGAUUAUCUAGGGAAUCUUCUGCCGAGAUUUUGCUGACAAGCGCAAAGUAGUUGAUUGUAGUAAUAACGACUAUAUUCAUAUGUGGAUGAUACAUGGUUCAUGUUAUGCUUAUGACUAAAUUUUUCAUUUUGAUUGAUGCAUGUAAUGUUAUGGUUACUCAGUGUAGUGCCCCAUAAUAGUGGGAAUACCACAUAUGAAAUGUAACGACUGAUCAAUGCAUGUAUACGUGCUAAUAAGAAUUGGAAUUUGAGAGGUGCCAAGCAAGGUUGGAAUUUUAUUGCAGAUGCUUGAUUUUCAAGGGUACAUGUUGUGGGAAUAUGCCAGAUGAAUGUGAUGGAUUUCCUAACAUUACGCUAGAGUGAUGCAACAUAAUUACUGCAUGCGAAUGAUUUAUGCAAUGACUUUAAGGUUUCCAACUAAGCCCUUGUGGUGGGUAAUGGAUGAAAGAAUUCAUUUGCGACAGAGUUUCUUGUUGAGGGAAAAUUAAUUUUGAUGGAAGGUAAUUUCCAGCAUGAUUUCCCAAAACCCGUUUCGAACUUAACUUUUGCUGACACAAUGUAGGAUUUUGGCUUGAGCAACUUGAAAGUCCGGGGAGAACUUUCCCCUGUGAUAGCUCUCUCUUUCCCCCGUUUGUUGGGUCUUUGAAGAGAUUUUCCUUGAAAUGUGUUUAGAAGCAGCUUGCCAUAACCUUGAGGUGGCUUACCCUAAAGUUUGAAUCUUGCAGUGGUUGUUGACUAACCGAACCUUGGAGUGGUAGACUUCUAAUUAAUCGACCUUUUGACUCAUUGAGCUCUUUAGGUGGCUUGCCCCUGUCUGAGACUUGCAGGUAUUUGUUCUUUAACUAAAUGACUUUUGGGGUGAUCGGCUCGAAUUGACCAUCCCCCCCCCCACCCGUGAUUUCCCCCUAAAUGGACUUUAUUCACAUGAUCAAGCUCCUCAACUGAUUGCGCAUUAUUGUGAUUUCUUUUAUGAAUUGACCAUCCCCCCCCCCACCCGUGAUUUCCCCCUAAAUGGACUUUAUUCACAUGAUCAAGCUCCUCAACUGAUUGCGCAUUAUUGUGAUUUCUUUUAUGCUAAAUGCCGACUUACAGAUAAAAUUGUCCAUUCAAAAUGAUAAUUUUAAUGCAGUGCUUACGCAAAAGUUUGAAAUUAAAAUUUAUUGAUAUGAACGGGUGAAAUAUAGUGAAUGGGUCACUAAUCAGAACACACUACUGAUCUAGCCAUUCAUAGUUGGCAAGGUGGUGUGAUCAACACAAAUUAUUAACAAAGAUUGUUUAGAGUCAGGUUAACGCAACCUUGUUGUAGUAUGCUUUCAAAAUAAACACUGCCUCAGUUAGGUCUUUUAAGGGUUGUAACGUGGUUUGAUUCAAGGUUUUUUUUAACAAAAGGAUAUGAGGCUCAAAAAUUAAUUUUAACCCACCCCUUAUUCUUGAUAAUCUUCAGUCCUACGUGUUGUACCUCAAAAUUUUCCCUCCCCUUUUCAUCUUUUCAUUCAACCCUAACUUAAGAAUCAGUUGCAUACCUUCAUGCUUCAUUCAUAUGCAUCAAUCAUUCAUUCAUAUAUAUAGGUUUUAUCUCUUUGAAGCUUGAAUAUGACAAAGUUCCAUUAUGGUAUUCUUCAAGGGAUUCAAACCCUAGUUAUGGGCCCUUGGUAGGGAUGUUGCUUAAGGAGCUUGAUGUUUGGUUUGAAACCCCAAUCCUUGAUCUUAGAGUUGGUAAACCUUAUGGUUUGUUUCAAAGGGUUGGAAACCCUAAGUUGGUUCAUGGCACUGAUAGAUUGUUUGGUUUGAGACUCUUGGUUAUUACUUGGAACUUUGAUCUUUGACCUAGAUAAACCCUAGUUCAUAGCUUGCCAUGUGAUUGGUCUAUAGUAUGCUUGCAUUGAUUGCAUGUUCUCAUGGUCCCUUCAGAAUCGAAGUCUCAUUGCAUUCACAUAUCAUCCAUUGGUCAUGAUUUGAUCUAAGGUUCAUUCCAUGUGUUAAAGUUCAAGCUUUUUGGUCCCAUUGAUUCAAGAUAUCAUUGUCUAUUUGGUCAAGGCAUUUGAUUGGUCCAUUAGCUUCCUUUCCAUUCACCCAUUCAAAUCUGUUUUAGAAUUCAUCUAAGGCAUUUGUUCAUAUUGAAUUUGAUCAAUGAGCGUUUGAAUUCACAUUUUUGCAUUGUUUCAUUAGAACAUUUUUAUCAAAUAAAAUACAUUUUAUUCAUAAGAUUCAUUGAUUACAUUACACAUUACAUUAAAAAGAUUACACAAAAUUACAUUUUUUGCAUAAGUCUACUUUUGGUCAACUGUUGGGUUUUUGGUCAACCAAUGGACCAAAGUCAACUCACCUACUUUUCAUGACCUAAACCCCUAAUACUCAUUGCAUCUUCACUCUUGCAUAAGAUUUCAUGGCCAUAUGCUUCAUGAGCAGGAAACCUUAUUUUUUGCAUCCAAUUUAUGCCUUGAUAUUUGACAUGCCUUAAACACCUUGAAUUGCUUUGAAACCAUAAUCCAGCUAUCCAAUGUCACAAGUCUAGAGCCCUACAUUCAACUCUAUUCAUUAGCAUCUCCAAACAUAUAAAAUCAUGUCCAUACAAUUCAAACAAAGGACCUAGUUAUCAUGGAAGUUGUCACAACCAAUGCACAUGAAAGAAUCAUACAUCAAGAAUUCACAUAGUAGUAGCAGAUCCUAAGUUAACAGGUUGAACCACUAAUAAACUCACCAUAUGCUAACCAUAUCCUAUUAACAGAUUUUCCAAUUGACAUGGAAAGCCAACUAACCAAAUGCCAUAUCAGAACCGAAAACUUGCAAAUGAGAUGAAAUAAACUUCAAAAGAUUGCAACCAACCCAUAACAAAAAUCAAUUCAGAACCUUCCAAUUCCUAAAAAACUGUCAUAAGAGAAUAACAAAAUGAUCAUUCCAACUCUAACAACCUCCACAACUCUCAUUAUCAUAACCACCCCUAACUGAAUUCUUCAAUGAACUCUCCUAAUUCCACUCUUCAAUCAACUUCCUAACCAUUCUUCACUCUUCGUCACCAACGACAUUCCGCAUGCUUCGUCUGAAUUCCACAACAUCUUUAUCUUCAUCUCAAUCAACAACGCAGGAACGAGAAUCUUCAUUUUGUAUCUAAAAUAUAACUCACGAACAUGAAUCUUCAUUCUGUAUCUCAAACACAACUCAUGAACGCGAACCUUCAUCUUCAUCUCAAUCAACAAUGAACAGAAGAGUGCAUCGGAUGUUGAGGUGAGCUUUUCAUUGAGUCACGGAUGCCACUGAGCGAGCUUCCUUUUCUGGCGCCGUGAAGGAGUUCCUCUGUGUUUUUUGACCUGAGCAUAUUUGUUUUGAAUGAGCCUUAAGAGUUUUUUGGGGUACAUUGAUGAGACCAGGGCCGGUGUUGAGAAAAUUGGUCUUUUUUUCCCAAGAAUUCCAUGGCCCAAGCAUUUUCUGCAUACACCUCACUCUAUCAAUUCACCCCAUGGCCCACGUUGAUGUUUAAGCCCUAAUCUUUCUUUCUUAAUCUUAAUUAAUUUAUUGUUAAUUCUAGUUUUUUAUUGAUUCUGUUUUGUUAAUCUUGAUAGAAAUUAUGAUUAAUGCUUAGUUUUAGAAAUAUUAGGAAUUAGUAUCUUGUUGUUAAUUAGGGAUUAAUAUGGUUUUAUUGGUCAAUUAGUAGAACUUUGAUUAUAUGAUUAGAAAAUAGGUUUAACCAUGUGGAUCUUGAUCUCUUAUCUUUAGAUUAAUCUCAUAAUAGGUUAACCUUUUCAUGAUUAGGAUAUUUUGAUCAUUAGACUUUGAUGUUUCAUUUUGUGGAUUUUGUUCCUAAUUUGAAUAAUAUGGUUAAGCGUAGAUUUUCCCAUAAUUCGUUUUUAGGUUAACUUUGCUAUGAUUGGAUUGUGAGUGCCCAUUAGGUUUGUUAAUUCAUUUUGUGAAUGAUGAUUGUUUUACCCCUAGGAUUUAGAAUAGCUUAACUUGCAUGCUCUCUUAGUUUAGGACUUGUAGAAAUAUUCAAAUUGUUGAUUAACCCUUUAGGUUGUUGUGUAUUCAUUUCCAACUAAUUUUUUUCCUAAUUGGUUCAGUUUAUCAAAGUUCACUUUGAUCGAUUAAAUCCUUUGAUUGUGCUCAAUUCUCCAAGACUAUUCAAGUGAUCAAAAGACCCUUGAUCACUUGAUAGGGCAAGUCAUGUGUUCAAAGCUGUACUGGAUACUGAAUCUCAAGACUUCAAGACCUCAAGAUUCAAAGGUCAAGAUUCGAGACUUCAUAUAAUUCAAAUCAGUACAAGACAGACUGAACUACUAUAAGGCGCAUAAAAGGUGGUUCUUCAAGAGCUUGUUAAUCAAGUUUAAAAUUGAGUGGCAUGAGCCCUAAGUAAUAGAGAAGGGAUGAGAGUGGAGAAUUCCUAUCCUCACUCUGAAUAUCUUUAGGUACGAGACGAAUGACCAUGUUGCUCAUCGUAUUCACCUCUAUUCAUAGAAUUUAGCAUAAUUAAAAUCAUAUGAUUCUCAAGUCUCUCUCCAGCAAACAACAUCAACGUAGGGAGCAACAAAGAUUCUUCUCCAACAACUUGAAAGUUACGAUAAUAAUCAUAUGCCAGGAGCCUUAAGUAGUAAAGAAUAAAUGAGAGUGGAGAAUUCAUAUCCUCAUUCUGAAUAUCUUUGGGUACGAGACGAAUGACCCAGUUGCUCAUCGUAUUCACCUUUACUUAUAGACUUUAGUGUGAUUCAUAUCAAAUGACUGUCAAGUCAUCUUCAUCUCCCUUUGUUUUUGUGGUUCCACGAACUACGAAAGCUCUGACUUUCUUAUUGCACGGGGAGAAUAUGUAGGCAUGAAAAUUCAGAUUCUCUGCGAGCUACCUUAUUUAUUGAUCCUACCAUAUUCAAUGAUUCUUAAUUCUUAAUCAAUCAAUACCAUCUCUUUGAGAUCACAUACAUUUUUCCUUGGAUUCCAUAAUCAAUGUCUUCCUUUGAACUAAGAGAUGUUUGCCUUGAUGUCAAACACUUAAUUCUCUUUGUUUCUGGUUAUGACAAGAGUGGGUACGCCUAGUUUCCUCCACAUCUUAGUCUAUACCUCUUUUACUCUUCAGUUUAGGGUUUACUCCUUCAUGGAUCUAAGAUACCGUUUCUUCUUUGAUCUCAAAUUGUUUGUUCCCAAGCAAGUGAUAUUUUUUCCUGUAUCCAAACAACACUUUCUUGUGGGUCCCAUACCCAUCCUUUUAAGACAUUUGUACAUCUUGUGAACCAAGAGAUGCUUGCAUUAAUGCCAAACACAUAAUUCAUUAUUUUUGGUAAGACAAUACAGUGGGUAUGCCUCUGUCCCUCCAUAUCUUAGUUUGUACCUUUUUACUCUUGGGUUCAAAGCCAGUUUGUCAUUAUGGGUUCCCAUGUUACCAUUCUAUUGGUACAAUUAUAUUGUUCAUCACUUUAAUCAGACCCUUGAAGUUGUUUGUCUUGUUAGUCCUAGUUGCUUAGGCAAACACUUCCUAAUUUCCCUUUCUUUCCGUGGUUCCAUGAACUAAGAAUGCUCUGACUUUCUCAUUGCAUAGUGAGAAUACGUAGGCACGAGAAUGCAAAUCAUAGGCGAGUAUAAUCCUACUUAUUCUUUCUGCCUUAGGGCACCAUUCAUAUCUUUCAUGAUUCAUUACCGACCUUCAAUCAUUAAACCGCUCACCCCAGUGAUACACUACUUCUUUGAAACCAGAUCCAAUUUUCCUUGGAAUUCCAUACACCCUUUUAGGACGAUAUAACGACAGUCCACAUUUGUACCUAGAGUUGUUUGGCUCGUACCCAAACAUUUUAUUCCUUAUUUUUUUGGCCAAUAAGCAUGUUUCCCUCUAUGGUAAACAUUUCUUUUCUCCUAUGGAUUCCAAUAUAACCCUACCUUUAGUUCCAAAUUACACCUCUUCAUUCACUGUUACCAGAUCAUUCACUUAUGUGACUUUGGUCAUGUCAUUUUGUUCAUCUCCGUGAUGUAUUUCACAUUCUACCUUCGUUCACUCCAGGUGAUAUACUAUUAUCUUUGAGCCAAAUUCCUUAUCCCUUUGAGCUUCAUCUUGUGUCACCUUGUGAACCAAGAGUUGUUUGGCUCGUACCCAAACACCUAAUUCUCCUUAUUUUCGGCUAUAUCAUAUAGUGGCAGACGCUUUCGGCUAGUCCACAUAUUGGUCAACACCGGUUUUACUCUUGGGUUCAGACUUCUUUCCUUGUUGGAGUUCAAAUCAUAUUAUCAUUUGGUUUAGACCAUACUUGUUAUCACAACUUCUUUUUACAUCCCAACAUUAGUUCUAUGAACUACGGAGCCUGAAUUCCUUAUUACACUAUAAGGAUGCGUAGGCAUGAAGGUCAUAAUCCUCACCGAGCACUUUAUCUAUUCCAUUCUUUGUUCCCUCAUUCUUUUAUGAGUAAUCUUUAGAUAUAACACCUAUUCGAGUAAGAAUGAUCAAAAUGGUUCCCAUGGAGUACCAUGGAUGUUAGGGGUGCUAAUAUCUUCCCCUUGCCUAACCGACUUCCUUACCCAGUAUAUCUCUUUUUCCCGGGUUUUAUCGAUGUUUUCCUUUUUCCUUUAGGAAUAAAUAAAGUUUGAUGGCAACUCGGUUGUAUGUUUGAGCGUGCGAUACAUUCAAGUAUAUUUCCGCUAGCUUCACUACAUUCAAAUGAAUUGACACAUGCAUUCAACUUUUAAGAGGGUUGGAAGGUGUAAGGGUGAAGAUGAGGAUUCAAGAUGAGAUUUUCUUGAAAUGACAGUCACCUUAUUUGUUUUUAGGUUUUUGUUGAGGAUUUUUCAUGACCUCUUUUGAUUGAUUUUUUAUCCCUAAUUUUUCCUGGACCACUUCUUUAAAGCUCUCGAUCCACCGGGAUGCCCUGAUUUUUUCCUAAGUCGUCUUUUGUGGUGUCUGACUUAGCGGGCUUUUCUCUUCAUGUUUUUUGAUUUUACUGAAACAUUGUGACUGUCAUGUUAUUGGUUAUUGAGGAAAAACCACUACAAACGUUUUGGCUUUUAUCAACUCCUUCAACACUUUAAGUGCGUGCGAAGGAUAUCAUGUGGUUGAACCUCUUUGGAGGAUGUGUAGAGAUGGACAGAUUCUCUUCAAGGUUGAAUGCAUAGUCAAACUAUCUGAACAUAACUACCUUGCCUCUGGUUAAGAUUAAGGGUUUUCAAAUCCGAAAGAAAUACAAAUUCUAGUCUCAAAGUGGUUGACUAAGGAUUAACUCCUUAACUCUUUGGUAUUUAGAGAUUUGAAAGAAUUCCUUACAUCAUCAGCAAAGUUUUCUUUGAAAGCACGCCAAAACAACUAUGGGUAAUUCGUUUUCAUUAUCCUCCUCAAAUCUUUGUUAAAACAAUAAUUUGAUAAAGAAAAAGAAUAUGAGGAAUAUUUUUUGUUUUUGAUAUAAAUGAAGGAAUAAAAAGGCAAGAGUGAAUACAAAUGGAUUAAUUCAAAAUGCAUGAUUACUUUAUUAAUAUUACCAUUAAAAGAAAACAACAAUGCUUAAAAGCAAACAAGUUUUAACAUGCAAAGAAAUUAUAAAUGAAAUGCUAGAAAUAGCCAAAUGAUUGUCAGUGUUGAGGAUGAUUUUUUCGUCUUGAUUUGCUGACCUUGGGAAGUUCCUCUUGAAGUCUUCGAACUCAUUGGGGCAAGGGAUUAUUCACCACAUUAGGGCCAUCAAAGUCAGUUGCCCUUUGUUGAUCAUAUCUUACACUUCUUCUUGGAAGACCAUACAUUAUUCGAUUGAGUACCCCACUACUCCAUCAUGAAACUCACAUUUAACAUAUAAGUUAUACCAAGGACGAAAUGGUAACUUCAUGGACCUGGUUUCUCUAGGAGUUAUCAAUGAGCAUUGAACCAGCUGAGACCAUAAUUGACUAUAGUUCAUUUGGAUAGGGUCAAUAUUGAGAGUCUCUCUUUCUUGCCGAUUUGGAGGUAUGAGUUGAUUUUGACGCCAAUGUUGAUUGUUUGGAUUUUGAGCCCGAUGAUCCUAACAUUGACGCUAACACGGAACCUGAGCUGCCUGAUUUAGCGGACCUUGCCACGGUUGCUGGUGCUGAGGACCGAGAGUAAUGGUUGUUGGUAUUGAAUAGCUGCUGCAUAUAGAUGCUGAUAAUAAGGCAUCGAAGAUAGAGUUUGUGGAUACUGGUGAGUUCCGAGGUUGAAUUAGUUUUAUCCUCAUCUUCCUCUUGGGAAUCACGAAGGGAUUCACUUUCAAUAGUCUGCACACUUGAGACACCUGGGAGUCUCUUGCUUUUGAGGCCGCCCUCGAUGUGUUCUCUAACAUUCACCAGGUUAGAGAAGCUUAGUGAUGCACUGCCUACCAUUCUUUCAAAGUAUGGGCUCUGUAAGGUAUCCAUAAACAUAUCCACCAAUUCUUUCUCUGAGAGAGGUAGUUGAACGCGAGCAGAAAACUCUCUCCAUAUUUGGACGUACUCUUUGAAUGACUCAUUACUCUUAUUAGAUAUAUAUUUUAAUUGAAAGAGAUUGGGAGCCAUGUCCAAAUUAUAUUGGUACUGCUUCAAAAAAGCGUUAGCUAGGUCCGACCAUGACUGGACAUGGCUUAUUUAUAAUUCCAUGUACCAAUUCAAUGAUACCCUACUCAAACAGUCUUGAAAACAGUGAAUCAUUAGCUAAUUAUCGAUGGCAUAGGAGGUCAUUUUUCGACAGAACAUCACCAAAUGGUGCUUUGGGCAGUUAUCCCCUUUGUAGUUUUGAAAGUCAUGGGUACUUUAAAUUUCGGGGUUAUAACCAAGCUAGGCACUAAACACAUGUUCAAAGCAUCGAGAUCAAAAGCAUCAUGCCCUUCUAUAUCUUUAAGUAUUUCCUCCCACACGCGGUACUUUUCAAUGAUCUCAAUAACCUCUGUUCUCUUUGUCUUCCUCACUAGGAUUUCCCCUUGGGAAUUUGGCUCAGCAAAUGUAAAACUAUGAUACGUAAUACCAUCAUGAGGUGAGGAAUAUCCAUCUCGGAUAAUGGGAUAUUCUUGAAUAGAAAAGGCCUUAACUAGGAUAUGUACAUGUUGAGGUUGAGCUUGAUCAUUCACUUGAGGUGGAAUGACAUUUUUAGUGAUGGUAGUCCGUUGAAUAUUGUCAUAUUUGUUUGCCAAACCUAUCAUAGCCUCCAUGAGUUGGUUCAACUUGUUUUUCAUCAGUUCAACAUCUUCUCUUAACACAGUAUAUUUUUGGUAUCCCGAGUCCAUGAUCCUUUAUGAUUUACUUUAAGUCUGAUAUGGGUGUCAGGAAAUUAAUUGUGGGUUAUAGGCAAGGAAUGGAUGAGUUUUUUUUUUUUUUUGCAUUUUGGACUAACAUUCAAUGCAUGAUAACAAAUGCAAACGAAAUGGUAUGUGAAUGGAUGAAAUUCAUUUUUUGGUUUUUUGGUAUGUAAAGAAAAUUAAAUGUAAGUAUAGUUAAGACUUGGGAUAACAUGAGUAACUCAGAACACCCUAUUUGGCAGGUUUCUUAACUGAUAGUUCUAGGCUUUCUACCCACAAACCGCUCACAAGAUAGUUUCUAGGUUUUGGAUAAGGUUCCCAAAGUCACGGGCUCUAAUUGUAUCAACAUCAUGAAAUAGGCUAGCCGAUUUAUGAUAAGAGUGACAAAAUGUCUAUUCUGAGAGGGAUUUUCAUGUUAGGCGUGCAAGGAGUGGCCCUUGGAGACUAACAUUACGUAUCCACCAAAGUAGAAACUAGUUCUAAGAGGGGUCCUAGAACCAUGAACCCUUCAUGAAUCAACAUUAUGUAACAGGAUAAUUGUCUUAUAACGAGAUCUAUGAAUAGGUCUACUCUAGGCGGAGUCUUCAUUCUAGGAACACAAGGAGAGGCCCUUGGGGAUUAACACUACACAACUUCCAAUCCUAAACUUAUGUGUUCUCUCUUAUUUUUCCAAAGCUCGGGUGUAGAGAUUUACUCAUGAUAUCAUCCCAAAUCCCAAAAAUAAAUAAGAUGAUAAACAUAUAGAAAUGAAGAGAGCAAACAUGGAGAAAAAAAAAGAAAACCCAACUUUCAUCACAAAGUUAUCUAAAUUAGGCUUGACUCUCUCUUGCAUGGAGCAUUCUCUCCCGAGUAGAGUCGUUAUUUGUCGUACCUCGAAAAAUAUGAUCUUGCGAAAAGCGUAUUGCACGCUCAUGAAAAAAAUCAAACAAAGUCGCCGCCGAACUUUAUUUAUUCCAAUGAAGGAUUAGGAAAAUAUCGAUAAAACCUUUGAAAAGAACAUGGUCGUCGCAACCAUAUUUGGGUUUGGGAUUCGAUUAUGCAAGGGGAAGGUAUUAGCACCCCUCACGUCCGUUGUACUCAACGAGAAACUUUUAGUUUAACUUGCGAUUGAAUGUCAUCUAAUGUUAUUUGUUUUUUUUGAAUUAUUAAAAGUGUAAAGAGAAAAAGAAAAAGCUUCACAACAAGUUUUUUUAUUAUUGUGCCUAACAAAAUUGUGGGUCUUGCUCCUAUGUAUCUCCGGGUGCGAUGGAGAACUCAAGGCAUAAGUAGUUAUGGGUAGAAAAAAUUUGUUUAUUGGUCGAUUUUAACAAAAGCUACUUUGUAUUAAUCGACAUAAAAUAAUGUUUAACCCAAAAUAGGUUAGGAGCAUGUGUUUUCAUCACAUUGAAUGAAUUUAUACAUAUCAACAUUCACGAGAAAACAUCAUUUAUCUCAACUCAAUGAUUAUGGAUGAAGCAUUUCUUUGAAUCACAUUAGGACAAAAUGUCUUUCAUUUUAGAAAAUGUUUUUAAGAUUAAUCACACGGCAGCGAGAAAAGAGUUUGAUUGGUUGGAUGUAUUUUAUAGGUGAAUGAUGAAUGCUCGAUGAGAACGUGAUAUAAGCCUCAGGAUCAAUCAUUUGGGGUUCCACCAGAAUGCUAGAUUCCAACAAUCCAUUUUCAUUCAAGGUUAAUUAACAAAAUUGUUUGAUGGACAAUGAACGCUCGAUAAGAAUAAGACACAUGUCUCGGAACCAAUUGUUCAAAGAGUUAUGCCAGAAUGCUAGAUCCUAACGACCAUUUUUUGUCCAAGUUAAUAAGUGUUUUGAGAGUGAAAUAAAAAAAUGAAUGGUUAACCCAAAAUGCGUGGCUCGGUACCAAUCAUUCAGGUUUAUGCUGGAAUACUAGAUUCCAAUAGUCCUUUUCUUCCGUGUUUGUUUAUUGUGUUUGAUUUGGUUUUGAAAUUGGUUGGAAGUUAGUUGAAAAUGGUUUUGAAAAUAGUUUGAGUUUAGUUGAAAACUAUCUCGAUAUUGAUCAAGAGUUCAUUAUCAGAAGGCCUAAGAGUAAGCCAUGAGACUAAACACCAACUGAAAUAAAAAGAAACUGAAUUUAUCUCUAAGCGAACUCUGGGUGGAUUCAUGUAAUAAUCACUCUUAUAAGAGGCUGAGAAACCGAAUAUAUGCAUCCAAACAGUUCUCGAAAGUUAAAUAGGAUUUAACUCUGAAAUCGCAAUGCAAUAAAAUACAACAGCAACCAAAAUAUUUUACAUCGCCAUAUGAACAUGGAUAGAGAUAACCUAAUUAAAUCAACCAAGCACAUGAAAGAUCAAUUGAAAAAUUUGUCAAGUAAUUUACUUACAAAAACAAAUAAUUAUUUAAAGCUUAGUCAAAUAAUCAAGUCAAAAUGAAUAAGCAUUUAAUUAAUUAAAGUAAUCAACUAAUCAAUUAACAAAAUAAUCAACUAAUUAACUACUUAUUUAAAUAAUACAAUGUCUAAAAAACAUUUUUGAUCACAAGAACAGUUUGUUGUGGCAUUUAAGAUUUGGCCAUCUGAAUCUUAGGUCACUCAAUGAACUGAUUACUCAAGAUAUGGUAACUAGUAUACACAGUCUUGAGAUGCCUGGAAAACUCUGUGAAGGUUGCUUAGUAGGGAAGCAAUCCAAAAGUCUUUUGUUUCGACUAUGCUAAUGAGGUCCUCUUAUAUACUAGAAAUAGUACAUUAAGGUGUAUGUGGUCCAUCGAGGAUCAUACCGUUGCUGGAAACAGGUAUUUUGUCUUAUUUUUCGAUGAGUUUAUUCAAAAGCUUUGGAUCUAUGUGAUCAAGCGAAAGGAUGAAGUAUUUGAAAUCUUUAAGAGAUUCAAGAUUCUUGUCGAAAACCAGAGUAUAAAGAAGAUUAAGGUUCUGGGAACAAAUAGAGAUGGCGAAUAAACAUCAAAUAUAUUUGAUGAGUUCUGUGCAAAACAUGGUAUUGAUCACGAGAUAAAUGCUCCUUACGCGCCUCUACAUAAUGGAAUAAUUAAAAGAAGAAACUAAACCAUGUUGGAUCUGGCGAGAUGCAUGGUGAUACAGAAGAAUUUUCCUAAGUCCUUAUGGGGUGAAGCUGUCACAACAACUAUUUAUAUUUUGAACAUGUGUCCUACCAAGAAGCUGAAAAACAAGGUUCCAAACGAAGUUUAGAGCGAAAAACGACCAUCAAUGAGUCAUUUGAAGGUGUUUGGCUCUAUUUGGAACAUAAAUGUUUCCGAUGCAAGGAUAAAGAAGGUUGAUGAUAAAAGUUAACCCAUGAUUUUGGUAGGAUAUUGUCGUACCUCAAAAAAUGAGACCCUUCGCAAAGGGCAAUGCAUGCACGCAGAAAAAAUGUUCGAACAUAGUCGCCACCAACCUUUAUUUAUUCCAAUGAAAGAAUAGGAAAAUAUCGUUAAAACCUUUGAAAAGAACAUGGUCGUCGGAACCAUAUUUGGGUUCGGGAGUCGAUUACACAAGGGGAAGGUAUUAACACCCCUUACGUUCGUUGUACUCAACGGGAACAUUUUAGUUUAACUUGUGAUUGGAUGUUAGUUAAUGUUAUUUGUUUUCUUCGAAUUAUUAAAUGUGUAAAGAGAAAAAGAAAACGGGUCGCAAAAACUUUUUUAUUAUUGUGCCUGACAAGAUUGCGGGUCUUGCUCCUACGUAUCUUCGGGUGCGAUGGAGAACUCAAGGAAUAUGUAGUUUUGGAUAAAAAAAAUUGUUUAUUGGUCUAUUUUAGCGAAAGCUACUUUGUAUUAAUCGACAAAAAACAUUGUUUUACCCAAAAUAGGUGAGGAACGGGCGUUAGCAUUAGAUUGAAUGGAUUUAUACAUAUCAAGAUUCACAGGAAAACAUCAACUUGACAUAAUUCAAUGAUUGUUGAUGAAUCAUUGCUUUGCAUCAUCUUAAGAUAAAAUGUCUUUCAUUUUGAAAAAUGUUUUUAAGAUUAAUCGCACGACGGCGAGAAAAGAGUUUGAUUGGUUGGAUGUAUUUUAUAGGUGAACGACAAAUGCUCUAUGAGAACGAGACAUAAGCCUCGGGAUCAAUCACUUGGGGUUCCACCGGAAUUCUAUAUUCCAACGGUCCUUUUUCGUUCAAGGUUAAUUAAGAAAAUUGUUUGAUGGAUAACAAAAGCUCGAUAAGAACAACACGUGUGUCUUAGAACCAAUUGUUCAAAGAGUAAAGCCAUAAUGCUAGAUUCCAACGUCUCUUUUUUGUCCAAGUUAAUUAUGUGUUUUGAGAGUGAAAGAAAAUAAUGAAUGGUUAACCUAAAACAAGUGGCUCAGGACCAAACAUUCGAGGGUUCUACUAGAAUUCUAGAUUCCAACAGUCCUCUUCUUUCGUGUUUAUUUAGAAAAAAGUUGUAACAUUAUGUUUGAUUUGAUUUUGAGAGUGGUUUGUAGUUAGUUGAAAAUGGUUUUGAAAAUAGUUUGAAUUUAGUUGAAAACUAUCUCGAUAUUGAACAAGAGCUUAUUGUAAGAAGGCCCAAGAGUAAGCCACGAGACCGAAAACCAACCGAAAUCAAAAGAAAUUGAAUUUAGCUCUAAGCUAACUCAUGGUUGAUUCAUAUAAGAAUCACUCUUAUAAGAAUCCGAGCAACUGAAUAUGUGCAUCCAAGCGGUUUUCGAAAGUUAAGUUUGAUUUAACUCCGAAAUUGCAAUGCAAUAAAAGGUAACAACAACCAAAAUAUUUUACAUCACCACAUGAACAUGGAUAGAUAUAACCUAAUUAAAUCAACUAAGCACAUGAAAGAUCGAUCAAAAAAUUUGUCAAAUAAUUUACUAAAAAAAACAAAUAACUAUUCAAAGCCUAGUAAACUAAUCAAGUAAAAAAUAAUAAGCGAUUAAUUAAUUAAACUAAUCAAUUAACAAAAUAAUAAACUAAUUAACUUCUAAGUUAAUUUACAAAAUGAAAUUAAAUAAUAAAAAUAAGGAGAAAUGACAAUGGGUGUAUGGCAUGAGGUGCUAUCAAGUUAUUGGCUUUUGGGCCCCAAACCCAAACAAAAUAAAAGCUAAACCAAAACUUUAGAAGAAAUAAGAAAUUUUAAAAAAAAUAUGAAGAAAAAAAAAGAAGAACAAAAGUAGUAAGGGAUUACCCCUCAUUUUGCUAUGUCUCAACUUAUUUAUUUAUUUUUAGUUACGGCCAGUAGCAUGUUGACAUGUGGCCAUCCUUCAUCAAAACUAAUUAAAAAAAUAAAACAAGAGGAAAGGAGAUUAGUAGACGUGUUUCAAUAAAGAUCAGAGAAAAAAAAGACAAAUUCCUCUUCUCUCUCGUGUAAUUUCACCUUUCUCUCAUCUUUCCAACAAAAUAAAAACAUAUAAACAAUAUGAGGAGUGACAUUAGUGGUAGGUCAAGUUUUACAAGAAAACUUCACAUGAUUGUAGUUAUCGUUAGCUGAAAAGAAGAGAAAAUAUCCUUAUGUAUAUAUUUUUUACACUUUGUUUCUUCCUCACCCUUUAAGAUCUAAAAAAAUUAAGAGAGCGAGGGAUGAAUAUAGUUUUUUAGUGUGUGUAAAAAGGUGGUGUUAUAGUUUGUGUGUUGGUUAGAAGCAUGAGUAUGAAUUAUUAAAUGUAAAGUGUUGUUGUUUUCUUUGCAUGAAAAAGGGAUGAGUAUGUUGGUAGUGGUUUCAUGUGAUAGAAAAGUUAGGAAGUGACGAGAAUGAAUGUGAUGGAUCUUUGGUAGUUAUGAGAGUGAAAUAUAAGAUUUGUAUAGUUGAGUGGUUUUCUAAGGAAAAUAUUAUUAAGAUUGGAGUUUGAUUGUUAUAUGAGGUUGAAGUUAACAUUUAAUGGUAGUGGUUUGGACUUUUCAUGAAAGAAAGAGAAGUGGUUUCAAGGAUGGACAUUUGAAUGGAGGUUGUGAGAAGAAGAUGGGUGAGUUGGAAUAUGAAUGAAGAAGUGAAGUGUUUUGUUAGUGAAGAAGGUGAAAAAGAUGAGUGGUUUAUGGUGUUUAAAGGGUAUAAGGGAGAAGAGGAUGAACACGAUAGUAUUGUAGUUAAAAAUAUUGAGAAGGUAAUGAUGUAGUGCUUAUGGGGGAAAUGAUGUGUUAUGUGAAGAAAAGAAAAAAAUUCAGUAGUGAAAAGAGGAAUAAGAUGAAUAGGGUGAAUGAGUGAUAAUAUGGAUUGAUAUGAGGUAGGCUAUGAAUGAAUGUGUAGUGUAUCAAUGUUCACGUGAAGGUCAAAACAAAGACACCUCCUUUCCUUUUUUUAUUCUUCAUUUUUUUUUGCAAUAUGAGUCUUAAGUGGAUGAUUCAAAACGCCUGGCUUGGUUCCGAGUCUCCGUCAUUUGGCCGUUCACACUAAAAUAUGCAUGCUAGUAGGGUUUUUGAAAUUAAUAAAAGGUGUAAAACAACCUUAGAUAUUUUUCGAAGAUAUUUUUGGAUCAAGAUAAGAUCAAACAGUACAAAUCAAUUUUUUCAAUAAAAACAAAUAAAACUAAAAUUGAUUAAUAAUCUAUCUCUAUUUAUUUUUUAUGAUUGUUUUGAUAAAAAACCAAAAUAAAAUAAUAAAAAAUAGAGCGCAAAAAUGCUCGAAAAAAAAAUAAACCGAAUGCACCAAAUUGAUCAGCAUAAAAUAAACCUCUCAGAAACAUACAAGUUUCGAUCAAAUUUUGAAAUAAAAACUAACUGGUUAAAAGGCUCAGAUUGUUCUAAUUUCGACUGAAAAAAUAAAAAUGAGCAUACAGGGUUAAACUACCUGAACCAUAGAUCAAGAAAAUUGACAUUUGUAAGCUCGAUUUUUGAAUUUUUCACAUGUUAAUUUCACGUGCAUUUGAGAAUCAGUUCGACCGAUCCGUAUAUAGAUCCAAAAUUUUAUUUUGGAUAAUAUUUUAGGCACUGUGCAGGAUGAGAUGCAUGUUAUGUUAGGUAGAUGAUGUGAAUAUCUUGAUGCAUGCAUCUAUUUAUUGAAUGAGGGGGGAAAUUGGGGUAUGACAGUUGCCCCUAUUUAGGUAUCUUCAACCAGAGAAUAUGAAGAAUGUUAAUCUUCAUAUGAUCGUGGUGGGAGAUAGUUAAAUACUAAAGAGACCCGAACUUUGUCCCUGGAUGUUGAUGAAAUGAAAUGUUAUGAAUGCAUGAAGGACUCUUUUUGGUUUUAAUUUGCUGGGAUAUGGUAUGAAAUGAACCCGAGCAUGGUUUUUAUGAUGGAUGAUAAUUAGAGUGGACAUGUGGGGAAUUAUGGAAAAAUGUGUAACGGUGAUCCAUAAGAAACGAUAAAGACAACGAGGGGCAAGGCUCACUAGGGAUAACAAAUUGUAAGGGAAAAGAAAUGAUAGAAUGCCAGACGGUGCUGGGCUUUUAGAAUGAAAUGCAAGACGAGACUAGACUUGACCAGAAGGAAUCAUUAAAAUAUAUACCGGCUUCAAAUAGAGUUUGCUAGACAAAAUUGGACUUUGAGGUAAGGGGGUAUAAGAUCAACCAAAGAGGGCGGGGUCAAUGCAAAAUGAGCUCGAAUUGCACUUCGACUAUGCAUGAUUUGAAGUUACUUUUAUGCAUGAUAUAUGAAUGAUCAUGGUAUGAAAAUGAAGACAUUCAUGAAAUGAGACUUGGCGAGAUGCCUUUAUUGGUGAAUGGAAAUGCAAGGUGAAGUCAUUAGGGAGAUAAGUGAUCAAUUACUAUGACUGAUUGCAUGUUCUUCAUGAAUAAUAUUCUAAAGAUGUUCCACUUGGGAAGACUACUACCGAGGUUUCUUUGGAAAGAUUCAAAAUGAAAUCACUAGGGAGUCUACUACCGAGACUCACUAGAGAUACCUAGUGCCAAGGUUUUAUUGAGAAAAUACCUACUGCUGAGGUAUAAUGGAAUAUCUUCUGCCGAGAUCAGCCAGGAAAUCUACUGUCGAGAUUCACUUUGAGAGAGAUAUACCUACUAUCAAGGUCUACUAGGAAAUCAUAUACCGAGAUCAAUCAGGGAAUCUACUAUCGAGAUUCUGUGGGGAACACCUUCUGCCGAGGCCUAUUGGGAAAUCUUUUGUCAAUAUUACAUGAAACAGAGAAAUUAUGAUACGAUUCAAAAUAUUUUGCAGACACUCCAUUCAACUUAAAAUCACUUUUAAUAGGAAACUCUAUGGUGUUUUACAUGGUGGGCAUCAAAUUUGAGAGGCUUUGUGCUAAGAAUUAGAUUGUUAUUUAACCAGACUGGUCCUAAUUAUUCCUGCAUAUGAAAUUUUUGUGGUCUAACAAAUUAUUGUCCCUUUCCUAUGAUGAAAGUUAAAAAAAAGGUUUAUUACACUUUUAUCCUGAUUGUUAACUUUGGAAUUGAUUUUGAUCUUUUAACUUAAAAAAGGUUUAUAUUGACCUUUUAUCACUACAAAAUAUAUCAUAUUAAUCAUUUUUAUCUAAUUAGAGACAAAUUUAGCUACCAUUUCUAAAUUUUUUGGAUCAAUUUUCAUGUGGUCUAACAAAUUAUUGUCUCUUUCUUAUCAUGAAAGCUUAAAAAAAUUAUAAGUUGGAUAAAAAUAAUGACUUAUUAUUAUUAGAUAGUAUUUUAUGUGACAAAUUUAUUAAGUCUGAUCAAAGAACAAUACAACCAAUUUAGUCACCUAAGCGACAUUAAUUUUAUUAAUUUUUUAUAUGGGAUGUUCGAGUUUAUACACUAUAAAUUGAUCAAAUAUUAUUUUAUCUAUCUCAUAAAAAAGAGAAAAAGAAAUGGCUUCAAUUCUCAAGUUGUACGUUGUGUUUAUAUUCCUUUUUUUCUUUUUUGUUGCAUCAAAUGUUGAUGGUGAGCCAUUUUCUUCUUCAAAUUUCAUUUUAACUUUUUAUUUCUUAUUCGUUUGUGAAGAAAAUAUUUUAUCUCAUUUUAACAAUAUAAUUAUUUUUUUAUUAUAGGUAAGGCUUGUACAGAGGAUCUCCAAUGUACUACAUGCCCUGCACAUCAAUAUGACAAGUGUAUCAAUGGUUUCUGUACAUGUUAUACCUAUAAAAAAAUCCCUCUUAACUGAAUGAAUAAGUAUUAGGUGAACAUGGUUUAUCUAUUUCAAAUACUUAAAUAAAAUCUAUGUAAUGUUAUAUUUCAAGACAAUAAAUAAUAAAUAUUAAAAUCUAUGUAAUGUUAUAUUUCAAGACAAUAAAUAAUAAAUAUUAUAAACAUGGUUAUCUAUUUAAUAUUUCAAGAUCUUAAAUGGAUGAAUAAGUAUCAGGUGAAUACAAAUAAUAUUGAAGAAUAUAAAUAUUUUGAUGUGAAUUUUUCUUUCUCAUCUUGAUUUGAAAAUUGUGAUAGGUCUCUUAUCUUUUCGGUUGUGUAUUUCUUCAAUCUAUUUGGGUGUUGUAGGAUUUUGCGGCUCAAGUCUUUAUAUAUAAUAUUCUAUUUGUUUUUAAGAAAAUAAUAAAAUAAUUAUUUUAAUAAAUUCAGUUAAAAUUAUUUAAAGUGUUGAAAAUGUCCAUAGACAACAUAAAUAUCAUCAAGUAAUGAAUGUAUCUUGCAAACUCAAUUUUAUUUUAAAUAGAUGUAUAUUUAUGCAAUAUAAAAUAUAUUGAGACCACCAAAACUCUACUUGUUGAAAAGAAUUUAUUGUUAAAUAAAAUUUUACAUGAUACAAAAGAAUAACAAAUUUAUAAUAUUCAAUUGUUAAACUACUAAGCUAUGAAGGUAUUAUUGCAAUUCAAAAAUAAAUAAAUAAGUAAUUGAGAGAGUAUUACAAAUAAAGUGGUCCUAACACUCAUUUUCAUUCAUUUAUAAAGGAAAAAUUUAACAAAUGCCUGAAAUACUCGUUAAGACUUUAAAUAUAUAUGUUUUAUUUAAAAAUAGUUAUAUUCAAUAUAUUAAAAUUUAAAACAAUUUAUUCUUUUAAAAAAAUAAACUGAGAUUAAUUGUUAUGCACUGACGGUGUAAAAAAUUUUAUACUGUCAAUAUAUCACAAUCAUCCAUUUGUGUUAUUUUACAUGUGAUUAUAAUAAAAGUCAAAUUUUUUUAACAAAUCAAUUGUUAUAAUUAACUGAUGGUGUAAAUUACACUGUUGCUGUAUUUCAAUUAAAUCCUAAUAAAAUAUUUUUUUUUUAAGAUUUGUAUUCAACAUAAUAUUUUAUUUACUUAAAUUUUUUAAGAGUGUUCUGGAUCACUAUAACCCUAAUAUAAAACCAUACUAUAAAUUUGCACAACCGUGCAUUGUUGUAGUUAACACACUCUAUGAAUUCGAUCAUAAUAACAAUGGAUAGCUGUAACAAAAAAUUGGAAAAUAGUAAAAUAAAAGAAACUACCAAUUAUAUUGUUGGAACUUAAAUUAAAUUGCACUGACUAAUUUUUUUGUUUUUGAAGAGUGCAGGAAUGUAUGUGGAUAAUUCUUACAGAAUUCAAUUACAUGUUCUAAAUAACGGUUUUUGUUUUUGUUUAAAGAAUAAAGUGAGAGGGGCGAUAAGAGGAAACACUUACAAAGAAGUCACACACUUAAAAAAAAUUAGAUAAAAGCUAAAUUUAUAGUUACUAAAACGGUCAAUAAUAUGACAUUAUAUAAAUAUAAACAUAUAUAAAAUAAGAAAAAAUUGUGCUCAAAUAUUCCAUUUCCGGACAAAGAAUGAGAGGGUAAGAAAAUAACAUAUAAGAUGAAGAAUAUUUAUAUAAAAAAUAUAUAUUUUAUAAUUCUUGUAAUUCUUUAAUGUUGGAUAUAAUCCAAGUUGUGGUUCAAACUCAUGUUAGUUAGGAUUAGGGUUUGUUAGUUUAGUUACUUAGUAAUUGUAUAUAAAUACAUGAUGUAAUUCAGUUUUAAUCAAUUCUAAUAAUACAUUCACUUCUCUCUUUUCUCAUUCCUUCGACAUCAAAGUGCAUUAACAUUGACAAAUUUGUAUCUAGAGCUCCGGUUAGUUUUUUGAUCGUGUUUUCAAGAAUCACACGUCGGUGAUUGUGUUUCCGGAAUCGUGGAUUGUUAAUCUCAUUUGAUGCAAAGAUGAAUGGUAAUAAUGGUAUUUCGAAUUCUCAUCCAUUUUCUUGACGGCAAGAAUUGGAUCCAAUUGAGAAAAUAGAUGCAAUCUCUGUUUGACUUUCAUGAAACUCUAGAUGUGGUUACUAAUAACGUCCCAGAGCUUGCUGAUAAUGCAACUGAUGCUCAGAGAGUCGCAAACAAGGAGGCCAAGAAAAAAGACUGCAAGGUUGCAUUUUAUACUCAAUCGAUGGUAGACGCAACAAACUUUGAUAGGAUUCUCAUGAUGAAACGACGAAGGAGGCAUGGGAUAUUCUUGUCAAGUAUUACGAAGGAGGUGAGAAGAUUAAAGUCAUCAAAUUGCAGACGUUACGAAAGUAGUAUGAAUUACUGCAAAUGGGAGAAGAAGAAAAGAUUGCAAGCUAUGUAUGAAGGUGCGGAAGCUUGUUCAUCUCAUGAAAAGUUGUGGUGAAACCCUAACUAAUAAGAUAAUAGUUGAGAAGGUAAUGUGUAAAUUGACCUAUCACUUUGAUCAUGUUAUCAUUGCUAUUCAAGAAUCCAACAAUCUUAAAACAUUGAAAUUGGAAGUAUUGGUUGGCUCAUUAGAGGCAUAUGAGAUGAAGAUUGUCGAAAGGAAAAGUGUCAAAGAUUCUAUACAAGCUCUACAGGCCCAAACAUGGAAGAAACAUGGUGGUUCCAAUAAGUUCAAGGGCAAAGGAGACAAGACUCGGAGCAGGAAGUCAUGGUCGAACCCUCAAAAGCACAAGGUUGAUGAUUGGGUUUAUGAAUCCUCGAAAAGAGGAGAAGGAAAAUCCUAUCAGAAAGACAAAGAAGAGAAAAAAGGAGUGAAGUGUUAUAACUAUGAAAAAUGGGGUCACUUGGCAAAGAGUUGUUGGUACAAGAAAGGCAAAAAUGAAUGAAGAAACCUUGCACGCCAAGAUUCAGAUGAUUCUGAAGACAUGGUGGUUAUGGUUGCAGUUGCAUAUGAGCAUGUUGACACCAAGAUUUUGAUAAGUAAUUCUGAAGACAUGGUGGUUAUGGUUGCAGUUGCAUAUGAGCAUGUUGACACCAAGAUUUUGAUAAGUCGGAGAAGAGAAAAAUCAAACUUGCUGAUAAUAGUUCGUUACAAGCAGAAGGUAUUGGAAAAAUAGCUAUUCAAAUGAGCAAUAGAGGAAAAGUUAUGAUCAAAGAUGUACUUUAUGUACCUGGAAUGAAGUGCAAUAUGUUAAGUGUUGGAUAACUGGUUGAAAAAGGUUUCUUAAUGAUUAUGAAAUAUGGAGCCAUGGAACUAUUCGACACUCAAAAUGAUAUGUUCUUAAAAUAUCCUAUUUCUAAUAAUAGGACAUUUAAGACCAUGAUCAAUUCGACUGAGGUACAAUGUCUAAAAAACGUUGUUGAUCACAAGAACAAUUGGUUGUGGCAUUUAAUAUUUGACCAUCUGAAUUUUAGGUCACUCAAUGAACUGAUUACUCAAGAUAUGGUAACUAGUAUACACACUCUUGAGAUGCCUGGAAAACUCUAUGAAGGUCGCUUAGUAGGGAAGCAAUCCAUAAAGUCUUUUGUUUCGACUAUCCUAAUGAGGUCCUCUUAUAUACUAUAAAUAGUACAUUAAGGUGUAUGUGGUCCAUCGAGAAUCAUACCGUUGCUGAAAACAGGUAUUUUGUCUCAUUUUUCGAUGAGUUUAUUCAAAAGCUUUGGAUCUGUGUGAUCAAGCGAAAGGAUGAAGUAUUUGAAAUCUUUAAGAGAUUCAAGAUUCUUGUCGAAAACCAGAGUGAAAAGAAGAUUAAGGUUCUAGGAACAAAUAGAGCUGGCGAAUAAACAUCUAAUAUAUUUGAUGAGUUCUAUGCAAAACAUGGUAUUGAUCACGAGGUAAAUGCUCCUUACACGCCUAUACAUAAUGGAAUAAUUAAAAUAAGAAACUAAACCAUAUUGAAUCUGGUGAGAUGCAUGGUGAAGUAGAAGAAUUUUCCUAAGUCCUUAUGUGGUGAAGUUGUCACAACAACUAUUUAUAUUUUGAACAGGUGUCCUACCAAGAAGCUGAAAAACAAGGUUGCAGAAGAAGUUUAGAGGGAAAAACGACCAUCAGUGAGUCAUUUGAAGGUGUUUGGCUCUAUUUGUUACAAACAUGUUCCCGAUGCAAGGAGAAAGAAGAUUGAUGAUAAAAGUUAACCCAUGAUUUUGGUGGGAUAUUGUUGUACCUCAAAAAAUGAGACCCUUCGCAAAGGGCAACGCACGCUCGUAGCAAAAAUGUUCGAACAUAGUCUCCACCAAACUUUAUUUAUUCCAAUGAAAUAAUAGGAAAAUAUCGUUAAAACUAUUGAAAAGAACAUGGUCGUCGGAACCAUAUUUAGGUUCGGGAGUCGAUUACACAAGGGGAAUGUAUUAACACCCCUUACGUUCGUUGUACUCAAUAGGAACAUUUUAGUUUAACUUGUGAUUGGAUGUUAGCUAAUGUUAUUUGUUUUCUUUGAAUUAUUAAAAGUGUAAAGAGAAAAAUAAGACGGGUCGCAAAAAGUUUUUUAUUCUUGUGCCUAACAAGAUUGCGGGUCUUGCUCCUACGUAUCUUCGGAUGCGAUGGAGAACUCAAGGAAUAUGUAGUUUUGGGUAAAAAAAUGUUUGUUGGUCUAUUUUAGCGAAAGCUACUUUGUAUUAAUCGACAAAAAACAUUGUUUUACCCAAAAUAGCUGAGGAACGGGCGUUAGCAUUAGAUUGAAUGGAUUUAUACAUAUCAACAUUCAUAGGAAAACAUCAACUUAACAUAAUUCAAUNGAAUGCCUUAUAUGAAUCAACGCAUGAGUUAGGCUUAGGAGCUAAUUCAAUUGCUUUUUAUUUCGAAGUUGGUUUCGCGUCUCGUGGUUUACUCUUGGCCUCUUACAAUGAGCUCUUUGUUCAAUAUGAUUGAUAGUUUCAACUAAAUUCCAAACUAUAUUUCAAACGCAUUUUCAACUAACUGCAAACUACUCUCAAAACCAAAUCAAACACAAUGUUACAACUUAUUCUAAAACAAACUAACGAAAGAAUAGGACUGUUGAAUCUAGGCAUUCCAGUAGCACCCUCGAAUGAUUGGUCCUAGCCACAUUGUUUUUAAGUUAACGAUCAUUAUUUUCUUUUCACUCUUAACAAACUUAAUUAACUUGAACAAAAAAGAGACGUUGCAUCUAAGCAUUCUGACUUACUCUUUGAACAAUUGUGUUCUAAGACACAUGUGUUUGUUCUUACGAGCGUUUUUAUCAUCAAACAAUUUUCUUAAUAACCUUGAAUGAAAAAGGACCGUUGAAUAUAAGAAUUCCGGUGGAACCAAAUGAUUAAUCCCGAGGCUUAUGUCUCGUUCUCAUAGAGCAUUCGUCGAUCUUCAACAUUAAAUACAUCCAACCAAUAAACUUCUUUCUCGCCGCCGUGCAAUUAAUUAUAAAAACAUUUUCCAAAAUGAAAAAUUUUGUCUUAAGAUGAUGCAAAGCAAUGAUUCAUCAAACAAUCAUUGACAUUAUGUUAGUUGAUUUUCCUAUGAAUGUUGAUACUGUUAAAUCCAUUCAAUCUAAUGCUAACGCCCGGUUCCUAGCUAUUUGGGCUAAAACAAUGUUUUUUGUCGAUUAAGACAAAGUAGCUUCGCUAAAAUAGACCAACAAACAUUUUUUCCCAAAACUACAUAGUUCCUUGAGUUCUCCACAUCGCAAUCCGAAGGAUCGUAGGAGCAAGAUACGCAAUCUGUUAGGCCACAAGAAUAAAAAAACUUUUGCCGACCCUCUUAUUUUCUCUUUACACUUUUAAUAAUUCAAAGAAAACAAAUAAAUUAGCUAACAUCCAAUCACAAGUUAACUAAAAAAUGUUUCCUAUUGAGUACACGAACGUAAGGGUGUUUAUACAUUCCCCCUUGGUGAUAUCGACUCCCGAACCUAAAUAUGGUUCCGACGUGACCAUGUUCUUUCCAAAUAGUUUUAACGAUAUUUUCCUAUAUUAUUCAUUGGACAUAAAUAAGUUUCGGUGGAGACUAUGUUUCGAACAUUUUUGCUACGAGCGUUGCGUUGCCCUUUUGCGAAGGGUCUCAUUUUUUGAGACAACAAUAUCCCACCAAAAUCUAUGGGUACUUUUAUCAUAAUCUUCUUCUCUGCUCGGGACAGUUAGAUAGAUAUAACUUAAUUAAAUCAACUAAGCACAUGAAAGAUCGAUAAAAAAAUUUGUCAAAUAAUUUACUAAAAAAAACAAAUAACUAUUCAAAGCCUAGUAAACUAAUCAAGUAAAAAAUAAUAAGCGAUUAAUUAAUUAAACUAAUCAAUUAAUAAAAUAAUAAACUAAUUAACUUCUAAGUUAAUUAACAAAAUGCAAUUAAAUAAUAAAAAUAAAGAGAAAUGACAAUGGGUGUAUGUCAUGAGGUGCUAUCAAGUUAUUGGCUUUUGGGCCCCGAACCCAAAGAAAAUAAAAACUAAACUAAAACUUUAGAAGAAAUAAGAAAUUAAAAAAAAAUAUGAAGAAAAAAAAAGAAGUACAAAAUUAGUAAGGGAUUGCCCCUCAUUUUGCUAUGUCUCAACUUAUUAUUGUUUUUUUUAGUUAUGGCCGGUAACAUGUUGACAUGUGGCCAUCCCUCAUCAAAAUCAAUUAAAAAAUAAAACAAGAGGAAAUGAGAUUAGUAGACGUGUUUCAAUAAAGAUCAGAGAAAAAAAAGACAAAAUCCUCUUCUCUCUCGUGUAAUUUCCCCUUUCUCCCAUCUUUCCAACAAAACAAAAACAUAUAAACAAUAUGAGGGGUGACAUUGGUGGUGGGUCGAGUUUUACAAGAAAACAUCACAUGUUUGUAGUUAUCGUUAGCUGAAAAGAAGAGAAAAUUAAGAGAACGAGGGAUGAAUGUAGUUUUUUAGUGUGUGUAAAAAGGUGGUGUUAUAGUUUGUGUGUUGGUUAGAAGUGUGAGUAUGAAUUAUUAAAUGUAAAGUGUUAUUGUUUUCUUUUCAUGAAAAAGGGAUGAGUAUGUUGGUAGUGGUUUCAUGUGAUAGAAAAGUUAUGAAGUGACAAGAAUGAAUGUGAUGGAUCUUUGGUAGUUAUGAGAGUGAAAUAUGAGAUUUGUGUGGUUGAGUGGUUUUCUAAGGAAAAUAUUAUGAAGUUUGGAGUUUGAUUGUUAUGUGAGGUUGAAGUUAACAUUUAAUGGUAGUGGUUUGGAGUUUUCAUGAAAGAAAGAGAAGUGGUUUCAAGGAUGGACAUUUGAAUGGAGAUUGUGAGAAGAAGAUGGUUGAGUUGGAAGAUGAAUGAAAAAUUGAGGUGUUUUAUUAGUGAAGAAGGUGAAAAAGAUGAGUGAUUUAUGAUGUUUGAAGGGUAUAAGGGAGAAGAGGAUGAAUAUGAUAGUAGUGUGGUAAAAAAAAUUGAGAAGGUAGAGAUGUAAUGCUUAUGGUGGAAAUGGUGUGUUAUGUGAAGAAAAGAAAAAAUCUAGUAGCGAAAAGAGGAAUAAGAUGAAUAGGGUGAAUGAGUGAUAAUAUGGAUUGAUAUGAGGUAUGCUAUGAAUGAAUGUGUAGUGUAUCAAUGUUCACGCAAAGGUCAAAACAAAGACACCUCCUUUCCUUUUUUUAUUCUUCUUUUUUUUUUGCAAUCUGAGUCUUAAGUGGAUGAUUCAAAACGGCUGGCUUGGUUACGAGUCUCCGUCAUUUGGCCAUUCACACUUGAAUAUGCAUGCUAGUAGGGUUUUUGAAAUUAAUAAAAGGUUUAAAACAACCUUGGAUAUUUUUCUAAGAUAUUUUUGGAUCAAGAUAAGAUCAAACAGUACAAAUCAAUUUUUUCAAUAAAAACAAAUAAAACUAAAAUUGAUUAAUAAUUUGUCUCUGUUUAUUUUUUUAUGAUUGUUUUGAUAAAAAAAAACAAAAUAAAAUAAUAAAAAAUAGAGCGCAAAAAUGCUCGAAAAUAAAUAAAUUGAAUGCACCAAAUUGAUCAGCACAAAAUAAACCUCUCAGAAACAUACAGGUUUCGAUCAAAUUUUGAAAUAAAAGCUAACUGGUUAAAAGGCUCAGAUUGUUCUAAUUUCGAAUGAAAAAGUAGCUGAAAAAAUAAAAAUGAGCAUACAGGGUUAAACUACCCGAACCGUAGAUCAAGAAAAUUGACGUCUGUAAGCUCGACUUUGGAAUUUUUCACACGUUAAUUUCACGUGCAUUUGAGAAUCAGUUCGACCGAUUCGUAUAUAGAUCCAAAAUUUUAUUUUGGAUAAUAUUUUAGGCAUUGCGCAGGAUGAGAUGCAUGUUAUGUUAGGUAGAUGAUGUGAAUGUCUUAAUGCAUGCAUCUAUUUAUUGAAUGAGGGGGGAAAUUGGGGUAUGACAGUUGCCCCUAUUUAGGUAUCUUCAACUAGAGAAUAUGAAGAAUGUUAAUCUUCAUAUGAUCGUGGUGGGAGAUAGUUAAAUACUAAAGAGACCCGAACUUUGUCCCUGGAUGUUGAUGAAAUGAAAUGUUAUGAAUGCAUGAAGGACUCUUUUUUGGUUUUAAUUUGCUGGGGAUAUGGUAUGAAAUGAACCCGAGCAUGGUUUUUAUGAUGGAUGAUAAUUAGAGUGGACAUGUGGGGAAUUAUGGAAAAAUGUGUAACGGUGAUCCAUAAGAAACGAUAAAGACAACGAGGGGCAAGGCUCACUAGGGAUAACAAAUUGUAAGGGAAAAGAAAUGAUAGAAUGCCAGACGGUGUUGGACUUUUAGAAUGAAAUGCAAGACGAGACUAGACUUGACCAGAAGGAAUCAUUAAAAUAUAUACCGACUUCAAACAGAGUUUGCUAGACAAAAUUGGACUUUGAGGUAAGGGGGUAUAAGAUCAACCAAAGAGGGCGGGGUCAAUGCAAAAUGAGCUCGAAUUACACUUCGACUAUGCAUGAUUUGAAUUUACUUUUAUGCAUGAUAUAUGAAUGAUCAUGGUAUGAAAAUGAAAACAUUCAUGAAAUUAGACUUGGCUAGAUGCCUUUAUUGGUGAAUGGAAAUGCAAGGUGAAGUCAUUAGGGAGAUAAGUGAUCAAUUACUAUGACUGAUUGCAUGUUCUUCAAGAAUAAUAUUCUAAAGAAGUUCCACUUGGGAAGACUACUACCGAGGUUUCUUUGGAAAGAUUCAAAAUGAAAUUACUAGGGAGUCUACUACCGAGACUCACUAGAGAUACCUAAUGCCAAGGUUUUAUUGAGAAAAUACCUACUGCUGAGGUAUAAUACAAUAUCUUCUGCCAAGAUCAACCAGGAAAUCUACUGCCGAGAUUCACUUUAAGAGAGAUAUACCUACUAUCAAGGUCUAUUGGGAAAUCAUAUACCGAGAUCAAUCAGGGUAUCUACUAUCGAGAUUCUGUGGGGAACACCUUCUGCCGAUGUCUAUUGGGAAAUCUUUUGCCAAUAUUACAUGAAACAUAGAAAAUUAUGAUACGAUUCAAAAUAUUUUGCAAACACUCCAUUCAACUUAAAAUCACUUUUAAUAGGAAACUCUACAGUGGUUUACAUGGUGGGCAUCAAAUUCGAGAGCCUUUAUGCUAAAAAUUAUAUUGUUAUUUUACCGGACUGAUCCUAAUUAUUCCUGCAUAUGAAAUUUUUGUGAUCUAACAAAUUAUUGUCCCUUUCCUAUCAUGAAAGUUUAAAAAAGGUUUAUUACACUUUUAUCAAAAUUUUUGUGAUCUAACAAAUUAUUGUCCCUUUCCUAUCAUGAAAGUUUAAAAAAGGUUUAUUACACUUUUAUCCUGAAUUUUAAUUUUGGAGUUGCUUUUGAUCUUUUAACUUUAAAAAAAAAGAUUUAUAUUGACCCCUUAUCACUUCAAAAAUAUAUCUUAUUAAUAUAUUUUUAUCUAAUUAGAGACAAGUUUAGCUACCAUUUCUAAAAAAUUUGGAUCAAUUUUGAUGUGGUCUAAAAAAUUAUUGUCUCUUUCCUAUCAUGAAAGCUUAAAAAAAAAUUAUAAGUUGGUUAAAAAUAAUGAAUUAUUAUUAUUAAAUAAUAUUUUAUGUGAUAAAUUUAUUAAGUCUGACAAUACAAUCAAUUUAAUCACCUAAGCGACAUUAAUUUUAUUAAUUUUUUAUAUGGGGUGUUCGAGUUUAUACACUAUAAAUUGAUCAAAUAUUAUUUUAUCUAUCUCAUAAAAAAGAGAAAAAGAAAAUGGCUUCGAUUCUCAAGUUGUACGUUGUGUUUAUAUUCCUUUUUUUCUUUGUUGCAUCAAAUGUUGAUGGUGAGCCAUUUUCUUCUUCAAAUUUCAUUUUAAUUUUUUAUUUCUUUUUCGUUUAUAAAGAAAAUAUUUUAUCUCAUUUUAACAAUAUAAAUUAUUUUUUUAUUAUAGGUCGUCAGGCUUGUGUACACGAUCGCGAAUGUAAAUGCCCUGGACAUCCAGUAAGCAGGUGUGUCAAAGGUUUCUGUAGAUGUUAUACCUUUCCUGCUAUCCCCAGUUUUAAAGGGAUGAAUAAGUAUUAGGUGAACAUGGUUAUCUAUUUCAAAUACUUAAAUAAAAUCUAUGUAAUGUUAUAUUUCAAGACAAUAAAUAAUAAAUAUUAUAAACAUGGUUAUCUAUUUAAUAUUUCAAGAUCUUAAAUGGAUGAAUAAGUAUCAGGUGAAUACAAAUAAUAUUGAAGAAUAUAAAUAUUUUGAUGUGAAUUUUGUUUUCUCAUCUUGAUUUGAAAAUUGUGAUAGGUCUCUUAUCUUUCGGUUGUGUAUUUCUUGAAUCUAUUUGGGUGUUGUAGUAUUUUGCGGCUCAAGUCUUUAUAUAUAAUAUUCUACUUCUUUUUAAGAAAAUAAUAAAAUAAUUAUUUUAAUAAAUUCAGUUA
rnacentral:lncRNA from 1 species